GAUGAACGCUGACAGAAUGCUUAACACAUGCAAGUCAACUUGAAUUUGGGUUUUUAACUUAGGUUUGGGUGGCGGACGGGUGAGUAACGCGUAAAGAACUUGCCUCACAGCUAGGGACAACAUUUGGAAACGAAUGCUAAUACCUAAUAUUAAGAUAAUAGGGCAUCCUAUACUUAUGAAAGCUAUAAGCGCUGUGAGAGAGCUUUGCGUCCCAUUAGCUAGUUGGAGAGGUAACGGCUCACCAAGGCGAUGAUGGGUAGCCGGCCUGAGAGGGUGAUCGGCCACAAGGGGACUGAGACACGGCGCAUACUCCAACGGGAGGCAGCAGUGGGGAAUAUUGGGCAAUGGACCGAGAGUCUGAUCAAGCAAUUCUGUGUGCACGAUGGAGUUUUUCGGAAUGUAAAGAGCUUUCAGUUGGGAAGAAACAAAUGACGGUACCAACAGAAGAAGUGACGGCUAAAUACGUG
rnacentral:rRNA from 1 species